GUGGGGAGCAGAGCUGCGUGGGAAGCUGCUGCAUCUCCAGACCUAAAGCCUGAUUGCUGCUGUGGCAACCUUGAACUUCUGCAGCUUCUCAUCUUCCAGCUAAAGUGAUUGAGUCUGGCAGGAGGCUGGUGGGGCCCUGAGCUGCUUAGGAAUGCACAGCCUGUAUCUGAAAGGGAAAUUAAAGAACUCCUCAAAGCCA